UUGUUUCUAGUUUAUCUAGAAUACUAGUUUGUCGUAUUAGAGGUGUAUUUUGUACGGAGCAAG
rnacentral:tRNA from 1 species